rnacentral:rRNA from 1 species
UACAGAGGUGGCAAGCGUUGUUCGGAAUUACUGGGCGUAAAGGGCGCGUAGGCGGCCUUCUAAGUCAGACGUGAAAUCCCCCGGCUUAACCUGGGAACUGCGUCUGAUACUGGGAGGCUAGAGUGCGGGAGAGGGAUGCGGAAUUCCAGGUGUAGCGGUGAAAUGCGCAGAUAUCAGGAGGAACACCGAUGGCGAAGGCAGGUCUCUGGGCCGAUACUGACGCUGAGGAGCGAAAGCGUGGGGAGCGAACAGG